CUAACAUUGCUGCAUAAUGAACACAACAAGUUAUAACCAUAUGAUAAAAGGUUUGAUUCCCAGACAAAUGAUAUGCUCAAGCAUUCACAGAUGACAAAAAAAAACAAAUAAACUAAAUACAAUGGAAAUUUGCCGUAGCAGGCAUGAUUGACUAUGUAGACCCAAGUGGAUUCGAACCACCAUCCUCUCACAUGCACCUGGACCAGGGCAUGGAGCGCUCUACCAUUUUGAGCUUACAGGUCUUUCAGGAAAACCACAAGGCAUUCUCUCAUUGACCGAAUGAAUCAUAACCACCGAACGUUAACGAAGCCUUUCAUUGGCGGAGAAUACCAUGCACGUUUCCAUUGUUCCAGCUACAAGUUUGAAAUUCAUCUCGCCAGAUAGCCGUCUUUAAUCAAUAUGGCUUAUCAUAACCAAAACAACGCUGAAGAUCUCCACCUAUACAUUAGUCGACAUUCCCAUUCUGAACAGAGUGAAAGGUAACACGGUAUCAAACAAUGGUCGUGGAUUUUUCAAAAUAUCUAUUCAGAAGUAAAAUAAUGUUAAAAAUGUUUACUGCCAAAAUUCCACUCAGCCUUGUAGAUGGGUGCCUGCGAGUGAUACUCCAGCCUUGUAGUUUGUACCAAUAUUCUGUGUAUGGUAAUAUUCAUCGUUGUAUUUGUACCAAUAUCACAAGUACCACCGGCACCACCUUAACAGUGACACUUGAGACGGGUUGAAUCACUAGAUCUAAUAAACUCCAAGAAAUCGCCUGAGAUGGAGAAGGAAAUUUAUACACAUACAGCAACAUAUCUGUGAACAGUAAACAAGAAAUAAGAUGUAAUUUCAAUCUUCCAACACAACAUUGCAGGUCUGCAUAUUGGGGAGGCACUGUAAACAGCAUGUCCAACUAACCAAGAAUUAUAGAAAACAUAAGCAGACAGCAACCUAGCAAAUAUAGUUACAAUGAGGAGAGUACCAAUCUGCAGAAAACAUCACAAUCCUGUUGACCCAUGGUACAUGUGGAAGUCCUUGAGAACCACAGCAUCGUCAUGCAUCCGUCAUCCCAGUGAAUGGGUCCUCGCUAGAGUAACAAUUGAAUAAUUGAUGGUACCCCAUAACAUAACAGAUCAUUGAACAACAAUAAGCCUCAGGUCAUAACAAGGAAAUACAAUAUCUACGAAACAACCAUUUGAGAAUUCCUGCAAAUAGACUCUGUAAUACUAUAAAUUGUUCAUGAUACUUCUACUGAAUAGAGAAACCUGUUCAACUAUGCUGCAAAGACGAAGUAGAUACUACGAAGGCUGCUUGAAUUGCUAACAUAAUACUUCACCUCUCAGAGAACUACAGGAACAAACCCAUAAACAAAGGCUAAUCUUACUACACCAGUUAUUCUUCUAUUCUGUUGAGGUUGAGAAUGUCGCACCGACAACAAGUUGACUUCUGAGAUUUACAUCCACCCAAUUGCCCAAAAUCUCCACACGAGAUGUUACAAAUAAAGUGAACACAGGGCUAUAUAGAACAUCAAUAGAGGACCAAGCUGAAUCAACUAGUGACAAUACAAUGGCGCAGUACAUGAUCAACUAUAUCCAAUCGUUCUGCUGAACAAGAAAACAGAGACGGUACGAUGUGCAUAAAGAUUGCCCAGAUGGAUUGUUUUAAUGGAUGGAUCAAACAGAUGUUCUUCGAUUUCAAAUUGUAAUAACUUCAGUAAAAUUUUACCUCAGAAAGAGCAGUCCAUAUACGCCACGUUAAACUAACUGCCAAUUAUAACAAAAGUUCAGAAGAUUGAAAUUCUAUGUUCUGCCAACCACAGUUCUACCACCAAUGGAAUCGUACUGAUUGUAAUAGAUGUCAAUGAGUAGGAUAGCUGGGCGAUAUUGAAGUAGGUAAAAGCAGUCGAUAGGUAAUAGCUAUGCAAAUUAUUACGGGAAAAGCAAUCGAUAGGUAAUACCUUGGCCUGCUGCGAUGGAAACAAUUCGCACGUUAUUGAGAUCCUGAUGCGCCUUUUGGAACGAACCUCUGACAGUUGCUAGAGUAACAACCUUCGAACGUAUGGCGAUCGUGACGGAGAUAAAGGAUUAUAAAGGGGAAAGAAAAGCAAGAGGCGACACACAGCUGGAGGGAAGAACCCGGGCAAAAUAAAAAAAACCCCGUGCGAUCUCCCCUCCGCAACACAAAACGUUUCUUUUUUAUUCAUAGGUGACCUGCCAUGUGAGCGCACCCAACAUGGCAAAGGUCGGAUGACAAAGAUAUCAACGAGGACACCAGGCCGCUGAAUACAGCGCCAUCGUCCUCCCAUAUCUUAUACAUCCAUUACCGACAAUCAUCACAUCCACCGCGUAUCCGCCGUGCACCAUCUUCCAUCAAUCAGCACCAUCAGUACGCCGCUAGAAUCCCAGAUCCGAAGAUCCAGGCAACCGGGAACGAUCUUAUGUAUCUUCUUCGCUACCAUCCCCCAUCGAAAAAGCCCACCAG
rnacentral:lncRNA from 1 species